rnacentral:lncRNA from 1 species
AUUCCCAUCCCAGAAGCCAUCUUCGUUGCAUGCUUAGGGGCCACCCACUGGAACUUCUUGUUAGUCUGUGCCUUAGCUGCACCCUGAGAUGAUAGCAUAGUACCAUUACUAUUAGUAGGAGUUGAUAAAAUAGGUGCUAUUGGAACAUGAGUCACCUUGAUCCAAGGCCCCAACAUAAGCCGACCCUCUUUCACUCUUUGACAUUUGUAGAGCUCCAUAAGAACUCCUAAUCACCCACAGCCAUAGCACACAUCAGGCAAAUCUUCAUAGAUGAGCUCUUGCCAUUUUGUAGUUCCUUUGACACAAACCCUAACACUUAGACA